UGAUUGAUAUCAUGGCAGGCUUCACCAUGGUAUUUUGUAUUGACAUUAGACCUCUCAUUGUUUUCCACUGCUUGAACUCUAAAAACUUUAAUUUUAUACAUUUCAACUUCUGAGUUGUAAUAACUGAAUUUGGGACUUGUAAUAAUUAUCUGGAUUGUUGUAAUCUCUGGACUCGCCUUCGCGUGAGUAUGCUUUGUUUCGAUCCGAGACAAGUGGUUUAUUAGGUGAAACCCGACAGACUACCAUUUUA
rnacentral:lncRNA from 1 species